rnacentral:rRNA from 1 species
GAUGAACGCUGGCGGCGUGCCUAACACAUGCAAGUCGAACGGAAAGGCGCCUUUCUGGCUACUCUAGUGUUGAACGCGUGCGUAACACGUAAGUAACCUUCCCUUGACUUUGGGAUAACUUUAAGAUACUGAGGCCAAUGCCGGUAACGAAUCCUUUCUGCAUGCGGGUGGUUGGAAAGUUUCGGCGGUUCUGGGUGUCCUUUCUGCAUAUCAGCUUGCUGGUUGAGCAGUGGCUUACCAAGGCUGUGUGGGGUAGCCGGACUGAGUGGGCGACCGGCCACAUAGGGUCUGAGGGAAGGCCGAGGCUGCUACGGGAGGGAGAAGUGGGAAAUAUUGCAGGAUGGGCGGAAGCCUGAUGAAGCAACGCCGCGUGCGGGAUGACGGCGUUCGGGUUGUAAACCACUUGCAGCAGGGGCGGAGCUUGUGGUGACGGUACCUGCUGAAGAAGCACCGGCUAACUACGU